rnacentral:lncRNA from 1 species
ACACAGAAAGCACACAAAUUAAAAACUAUAGAGUUAAUGGUGUUUUACCCCCCUGUAAUAUAGGUUAUUUUUUGUUUUUUCCUCUGUAAAAUAUUUUUUUUGAUUUAGCUCCUGUAAAAUUUUUUUUUUUUGGAAUACCCCCUAAUAGGUUAUAAAAAAACGACUUUAUUUUUUUUUUGGCAGAAUUUUUUGUUUUUUUAUGACCUAUUAAGGGAGUAUUCCAAAAAAAAAAAAUUUACAGGGGAUAAAUAAAAAAAAAAUAUUUUACAAGAGAGAAAACCAAAAUUGCCCUAUAUUACAGGGGGUAAAUCACCAUUAACCCAAAACUAUAUAUGAACACUAAAAUGAGCUAACAAACAAUCUAACACGUGGAAAACACUCAAAGAGUUCUAUAUGAUACAGGUUGGAGCUUAAUGACUAGACGAUGUUGUAGUGGACUUUGAGACAUGAGUGGGUGCAGUGAAUGAUGAAUGUAGUUGAUAUGGAUAAUUAUCGUAGUGGAUGUGGAUGAUGAUAAAUGUAGUAGUUUGUUAAUCAUAUACAAAUGAGGUUGAUCUUAAAACUAAUAUUUGUUAGGGAGUGAUUUUGUUGAUGGAUCCUUGGAGCUUGAUUCAAAUGAAGUGUUCUUGACUGUUGUUUCAUAUGGUAUUCUUUAGUGUUGAUCCUGACAAAGUAUCUUGGUUCAAAACAAACUAUCUUAAACUUUGAUCCAAACCCAACAUCUUGAACUUUGACUCAGGUUGUAUGCUUUGUUUAGAAAAGGUGUCAAGACAUCUCAUGGAAGUUAUCAAAGUUUGAGGAUUAAUUACAAUGAAGAUUUGUAGACAAAACAGCUGAGAAAUUUUUUAUCACAAGUCUUAAAUCAUA